rnacentral:lncRNA from 1 species
GGCUCACUGAAUCACAUGGUGGUGGAUCACCGCCCCAAAGCUCUCCCAGGUGGAGGAUUCAUUGAGGAGGAAAAAGAUGAGUUGCUUCAGCAUUUCUCAGCUACAAACCAAGCAUCAAAAUUCAAAGACCGUCGGCUACAGAUCUCAUGGCAUAAGCCCAAGGUACCAUCUAUAUCUACUGAGACCGAGGAAGAGGAAGUCAAAGAAGAGGAAACAGAAACCUCAGAUUUGUUUUUGCAUGAUGAUGAUGAUGAAGAUGAAGAUGAAUAUGAGUCUCGUUCGUGGCGAAGAUGAAAUUUGAUGCGAGUUGUGUAAUUUUUAGAAAUAUUGUUUAGAAGAACAACUUUUUAGAAUUAUUUAAAGAAGUCAAUGAGCCAAAAAAUUUUUUUCUCUUCAACACAGUAGGUUUAAGGACAGCAAGUUGCUAUUCAAACACAUCUCAUAAUUGUCUAUGAUAUCAAAUCACCAAAGGCCGUGACUUUACACAGUUGUGAAGAUCCACAGAAGUGACUGGAUUCUCUAGAACCUUACCUUCCACACCAUCUGUUUCUGCUCUUGGUGCUGGAUUACAAUGUAAAGACAGGGUGUUCAGAAAUUUUAUUUUGGAUUAUAAAUCUGCUGAUAAAAAUUUCAUUAAAUGUCAAAAUCGCCUGGAAUCUUUUAACUCUUAGCUAUUAUGAAUGGGUCGUCAGACAGUUGGAGAUACUUGUAAUUUAAAUACCUUUUCCUUUCAAGGAUGGCCUUGGAAGAAAAGUAAAUUUAGUUGGUUUUUUUUUUUUUUUACCAUGGAAGAGCCCGCUUUAUAGUCAGUCUUUCUCAGAGUCUGUGUGGCAAAGCUUCAGCAAAACCACGGUCUCUGUUCACAGGAGCCACAGGGCACAGGCGCUGGCUCUGCUGCACCCUCGCCUCCUCACACCUGCUCUGGGGCUUUGCCACUCAUCUUCCAUGGGUCGAUAUGUCUGAGCAUCGCUUCAGUUGUCCCCACCCCCACCCCUACCCCUUUUAAAUAAACCUCAUUUUGCCUUUUGCCCUUUUGCUCAUUCCCUUGUAUCUUUCUCAUCCCUUUUGAUUAAUGAGCCUGACUUUUUGAAAUAAGUGAUUCAGUUGGGCAAUCAAGAACCAGUCAUCAGUAAAAGGUUUAAACCAGCACCUUUAUAAAUAAGUGACACUUUGAUGGAAAUACAGGCAGAAUUUUAGGGGACAGAGUUACUACUGGCUUCCCUCCCCUUAAAGUUUCAGCAUAGUGACAGUUACACACAAGGGUUAAUGGCCGGUAGCUGAAGGUCUUUUCCUACAUUGUAAUGAUGAUGGUGAGGUGCUGAGGUGGGGAUUAGGAGUCUGGAUAAGCUAGUAAUAAAUGAGAUUCUAACUUGACAUUGAUUAGAUGACCUUAUAUUUUCAUAAUUUUAUAGAUUUUGCUGUCCAUGAACACACACUUUAGUAGGCAGUUUCCUUUACUGUGUGCAUUUUUACUGUACACUGUACAGAGUGUCUGUUAAGUAAAAUAUAUAUGUAAAUUUAUGUCCUUGUGUUCUGAAUGUUAGAUGGAAAAGCAGAGGAGCAACACUACACUGUACUGCCCCCUGGAGAAAUGAAUGAUUUCUGUACAUAGGAUGUCACUUUUCAAGGAUACACAUCUGUUUUAUAAUAUGUGUGGUGUGAAAAUUUGAAACUUCCUGUUUGCUUCAGAAGGUUCUUGGUGAUCACUAAGUGUGUCGGGGUUUUGUUCCCUGAGGUAAAGACUGUUUCUUAAAAUAGAUACAGUUCGCUUAGAAACUUAAAACCACCAGGACUCUAGAUUUACGGAGUGACAAGGAAUUAGGUCCCACCUUCUGAUCAUCUUUCUCCUCUUCAUAUUGUCCUGGAAUGACGUGUCAAACACCAGGACUCUUAGAAGUUCCUGUAGCUUUCCCUUUGUAGUGGGACUUCCUCUCCAGGUUAUUGUUGUGUUUCUGAUGACACCGAGGCUAGGCAAAGCCAUAAAGAAGGAACACAUUAGAACAGGGAACCUUCAAUAAGCAUCUUGCUCCUCACUUCUCCAUCAUCUCUAAUGAAAUUUUCUUGAUGUUUGUGGCUCAGUCGGUAUAUAUUUGGAAAGAUUCAUUGUGGUGAAUAUUUUGAGUCCUGACCAUUUAAACGUGAUAGAGGGAACAAAGGAUUUAUAUAUUUUUUGUACAAAGUUUUUUCUUAAACUGUAUAAUUUUGUAAAUAAUUUGUUUGGUUUUUUUUUCUUUUGUGUACUAAAACUACCAGCGUAUAGAUUUCAAUAAGAAUUGUUGUAUUUUUGUAUUUGGAGACUGCAAAUGACAGUCACUUAGUGAAGCUGUAAGAAGAGUCUCAGUAGACUGACAGUUGAGCAGAAUGAGAUUCCUUUUCAUAUGAUUUUUUUUUAACCUUAAGAUCGACAUCUUAUGCACUCACUAUAGAGAGAGUUGAGGAUUUAUUUGGCUUUUUAGUUACUGGGGGCAGAGGAUGAACGAGAACGGUGCUAAUGUGAGAGAUCAUUUUUAUUAAGGUUUUGGGUCCUUCCGUAGUCCUUAAAAAUAACUAAAAUUCUUCUCCAAUGUGUUUAACUCAAAAAUGAAUUUAAAAUAUGGAUUAAUUAUACUGUUAUAAAACUUAAGGUUAGCAUAAAAUAGCUGAAUAUGUGUAUGUGUGUAUAUAUAUCUCCCUUUAUCCACAUCCACCAGUCCCCAACUGUUAGAAUUUCUCUUAAAAGUGAAUUCCACACCAUAACUUGUUUUCUUGGCAUUUUUAUUUAUAGAGAUAACAUUUAGCAUUUGAGACAAAUUCUGCUGUCCUAGUGUAUAAGCUCUGUGCAGCAGAUCCACAGAGAGAGCUGCCAGUGUGACCAGUCAGUAAGAGUUUCUAGAUUUCUGCCCAAGUCUAAAGAGGUUACCCCAAGGAAUGUGGAAUUUUCUCAGUUUCUUCUUGGAGCAUUGGGAAAAUGACAUCACCAGCUGAGAUAGUGGAAAACAGUCCUUUUACCAUGAAAAAGACCCGUGGUGAUGGAUCAUUAUUUCACAAAGAAAAAAAAUCAUGUGAAAAGGAAGGAUGUUUCCUCGUGAUGUAUAGUAUGCCUGUAUUAUAGUUUUUACAAGAUUGUGAACUUGUGUAAUAGUAUAUAGGAGAUAUUGUUGGAUUUCUAACUGUUUAUACAUUUAAAUUCAUAUAUGUAAUGUUUGUUUUAUCGAUUACAAUCUGAAUUUCUAAGAAGCAUGUUGACUUUUGCAAUAAAGAUGCAAUAUGGAAUGGUUCACAAUUGGGGGGAAAAGAGAAAAAAAAAGAUGAAAAUAUUACAAAUUUAAAAGAAUCUGGAAAAAUUUAUGAACCAUUCCAAAAAUUAUAACAAUCACUAAAAGAGCUGU